rnacentral:rRNA from 1 species
UACGUAGGGUGCGAGCGUUGUCCGGAAUCACUGGGCGUAAAGGGCGUGUAGGCGGUUUCGUAUGUCUGGCGUGAAAGCCCCGGGCUCAACCCGGGAAGUGCGUUGGAAACUGCGAAACUAGAGUCUCGGAGAGGAAGGUGGAAUUCCAGGUGUAGCGGUGAAAUGCGUAGAUAUCUGGAAGAACACCGGUGGCGAAGGCGGCCUUCUGGACGAUGACUGACGCUGAGACGCGAAAGCGUGGGGAGCAACAGG